GAGCCAGGGAAUAAUAUUCAGAGGCAUCUCACAAUUUUUGGUGAUUUUUGGACAUACUAAUAAAUUAUUAAAAUUCAUCAAAGCUUUAUUUGGUAAUUAAAAGUGCCAAUUUUCAUAUCCUGGCAAAUUAACAGAAAACAGAGCCUAAUAUUUUUCUUGGGUUCUAACUAUUUCAGGGAAUUUAUACAAAAAUUUUCAUCAUUUUUGGAUCACUACAAAAUUUAUAACAUAAAUUCAAACAUCAAGCAAUUUUAAUCAAAAAGGAAAAAGAAAAAAAAACAGCGCAGCGGGCGGCCUGGAAACUGGGCCGCAGGCCGGCCCACACGCGCUCGGCCCGCACCCGCGCUGCGCGCGCUCGCGCCCUCACCUCCCCUCAGGACGUCGCUGAAAGCGGGCCCUCGCUGUCAGCUCCGUCUUCAACCUCCGGCCGGCCGAAUCGAUGGCGCGACCGAGCCAUCCGUGCCUCCUCUGCUUCUCGUGACCUGCUGGUCGCGUUCUCCAUUCCAAGGCGCACCUCUGGAUACCCUUCUCACCCCCUUUCUCCUCCCCUAACCCCCGCGACCACGGACACGGCGGACGGCCGCCUCGGCCGGGCAAACACCGGCCACUACGCUUGAGUAGAGCGCGAAGAGAGUAGCGCAA
rnacentral:lncRNA from 1 species